rnacentral:rRNA from 1 species
CACAGCCAUAAACUUUGAUAAAGAAUUUACAAUUUAUCCGCCCGGGUACUACGAGCAUAAGCUUAAAACCCAAAGGACUUGGCGGUGCUUUAGAUCCACCUAGAGGAGCCUGUUCUAGAACCGAUAAUCCCCGUUGAACCUCACCCCCUCUGGUUAUUUCCGCCUAUAUACCGCCGUCGUCAGCCCACCCUGUGAAGGUACAAUAGUGAGCCUAAUUGGUAAAACCCAAAACGCCAGGUCAAGGUGUAGCAUAUGAGAGGGAAAGAAAUGGGCUACAUUUUCUGCUUAAGAAAAUACGGAUUGCACUAUGAAACAGUGUAUGAAGGAGGAUUUAGUAGUAAGUGAAAAAUAGAGUGUUUCACUGAAUACGGCCCUGAAGCGCGCAC